CCUACGGGUGGCAGCAGUGAGGAAUAUUGGUCAAUGGCCGGAAGGCUGAACCAGCCAUGCCGCGUGCAGGUUAGUGCCCUAUGGGCGUUAAACUUCUUUUGUGCGGGAGCAAUAAUGGUCACGUGUGGCCAGACGAGAGUACCGUACGAAUAAGCAUCGGCUAACACCGUGCCAGCAGCAGCGGUAAUACGGGGGAUGCAGGCGUUAUCCGGAUUAAUUGGGUUUAAAGGGUGCGUAGGCUGUGGGGUAAGUCAGCGGUGAAAUGCCCCCGCUCAACGGGGUGGAGCGCCAUUGAUACUGGCGUGCUGGAAUUAGAAUGCGGUGGGAGGAAUGUGUGGUGAAGCGGUGAAAUGCAUAGAUAUCACACAGAACACCGAUUGCGAAGGCAUCUCACGAAUCCGCGAUUGACGCUGAGGCACGAAAGCGUGGGUAUCAAACAGGAUUAGAUACCCUAGUAGUC
rnacentral:rRNA from 1 species